GUGCGCCUGCGGAAGGUCAAGCGUCGCCCGCAAAACACGGCUUUGCAGGCAGCCGGACGGCGUACGGCCCCGUAUCAUAAGCAACUGCUUAUUUCAAAGCAUUUUC
rnacentral:ncRNA from 1 species